AACCCAGUGAUAGCAUAGCUGGUAGAGCUUCGGACUCGUAAUUCAAGGGUAGUGUGUUCAAUACACGCCCAUGUCAGGUUU